GCCUUCUUAGCUCAGUGGUAGAGCGUUGGUCUCGUAAACAUCUCUUAGUAAACCAAAGGCCGAGAGUUCAAUCCUCUCAGGAGGCA
rnacentral:tRNA from 1 species